GUUGGCGACCCAUAGGCCUUCCACCUCCACGCGGCAUUGCUCCGUCAGGCUUUCGCCCAUUGCGGAAAAUUCCCCACUGCUGCCUCCCGUAGGAGUCUGGGCCGUGUCUCAGUCCUAGUGUGGCUGAUCAUCCUCUCGGACCAGCAGAUCUGA